UCAACACACACUUUAGAGGUUGGACGUGUAAACGCACACACCCUGAUUUCUUUCAGUUCUGCUUUGCAAAGUAUGUUUUGUUUUGUAAAUCUUGUCGACGGCACGGAACUGCAGACAUUUCAGAAAAGAGAGGCAUUCUCAAACCAACCUCACAAGAUGCUUUUAAAUCAAUUUCUAACAACCUUUCGUGCAAUUCUGGGCAAAUCGGCUGUUUACAGCUCCGUCCCAAUGAGUCUUUUGUUGUUUUUACUGGAGGUGUUGAUCAAACAAGAAUUUUCAUGCCCGUGCGGAUAUGAAGGGAUUAACUGGAUAAUAACAUCCAUCUUUGUUGGACCUUCUCUUUUUACGUGUGCCUUAAUGUUUCUCCUGCUAAGAUUUUGUAGAUCUGGAUCCUGUGGACUAAAUAAAGUGGAAGGUGAUCGGCUGAGCUUGCCUGAUGCUUUUCUGCAGUGUCUGAUUCCGCCUUUUAUAUGGGUCGUCAUCUUGUUUCUCGAUGGUGAUUACGUGGCUUGUGGCUCGACCACGUGGAAAGGAAAUUAUGUGUUUGAUGAGGAGCUGAACAGAAUGUGGUGUAAACCGCUCCACGGGCCCGUGCAGGAAAAGAGAGCGAUCUGCGACAGAAGUAUCAUGUGUUCAUCUACAAAUCUAAGGCUCUAGGCUAUGCAGUCAUCACACUUUUGAGUCUUUUAAUCAUCGUAGUUGGUUUGUAUGACUGCUGUUGCGUCAGAAGACAUCCAGAGACACAGAAGGCACUGCAGGGAGAAGGACAGCAGCCUGAAUCACUUGUUCCUGUUCCCAACUUGCCCACUUCAGAAGUGGACAAAAAGAAGAGUGAAUGAAACUUUAUAAACUGUUUUAUGUUUUCGAGUAAUGUUUUGAUAGAUUACAGAAUUAUGAGGAUGUGUGACAAAGAAGGCAAACAUUCACAAAACCGAACUUGGUUAACAAUAAAGUCAAAUUCAAGGUCCCCGCCUAUGGAUUUGCUCAACAUGUUGGAACUGGUGAGAAUAAGACACCAUCACAAACAAAAAAAACAAGACCAUGUAGUACAGUACAGUACAGAAAAGAGUGCAAGUGCAGUAAAAAAUGAAUUGUCUCGCCCGGAUCACCUGAGUAAAGGUCUGUUUCUCUAUAAUCUUUGUUUUUGUCUUUUCUAACAUUUUACACAUAAACAUUUUGUUAACUUCAAUUGAAAAAUCAUUUUAAACGUGUGACUUCAUUUGACUUUGCUGCCAGUUUGCCAGCAAAAUGAAUAAUACACUUAUAAUAAAUGAUAAAAUGAAUAAAAAUA